rnacentral:miRNA from 1 species
GCAGACACAUUCCAGCCAAUCAGCAGCAGACCCUCCCUCCCAGACCCUCCCACCUCCUGGACAGCAUCCAUUUUACAUUCAUUGUGAAGCUGCAUGCUUAGUGAGCUGUCCAGGAGGUGGGAGGGUCUGGGAGGGAGGGUCUGCUGCUGAUUGGCUGGAAUGUGUCUG